CUAUGCGCCUUGCCAGCCCGCUCAGGUGUGCCAGCCGCCGCGGUAAUACGGAGGAUGCGAGCGUUAUCCGGAUUUAUUGGUUUAAAGGGUGCGUAGGCGGUCCGUUAAGUCAGCGGUCAAAUCGUGGGGCUCAACCCCAUCCAGCCGUUGAAACUGGGGAUCUAGAGUGUGCGAGAGGUAUGCGGAAUGCGUGGUGUAGCGGUGAAAUGCAUAGAUAUCACGCAGAACCCCGAUUGCGAAGGCAGCAUACCGGUGCACAACUGACGCUGAGGCACGAAAGCGUGGGUAUCGAACAGG
rnacentral:rRNA from 1 species